rnacentral:rRNA from 1 species
GUCUACAGCCAUGCCACCCUGAACAAGCCCAAUCCCAUUUGAUCUCAGAAGCUAAGCAGGGUCAGGCCUGGUUAGUAUUUGGGUGGGAGACCGCCUAGGAAGACUAGGUGCUAUACGCA